UGAAACGCUUGGCGCACGCCAAGAAUUUCAGACAAGUACGACGCGUACAGUUCCUACAUCAGAACUGAACCGUUACCCCUUUCUGUUUGCCUUAAAAUCCUUCAGACAAUGAACAAACAUUCGCCUCUAACCCUGAUCUUGAAAUAUCCAUAUAUUUAUAACAAUCAAACAUGAAACAUUGAUCUAGAAACAUCGAGUUCACAGCUCGAAUCCCAGACAACCAUCUUUGUUUAUGUCGUUCAAGUCCAGC